GAAGAACAAUGGAUUUCUGGAUUGUUAUAGAUGGAUGGGAAAAUCGAUGGGUUAAAUAUGACUGGAAGAAGGAUGAAAACAUGGCUGGGGAGUGGAACUUUACUUCCAGUAAAUGGGACGGUGAUGCUAAUGACAAAGGUAUCCAAACCAGCAAGGACUACAGAUUUUAUGCCAUCUCUGCUGCAUUCCUGAGUUCAAUAACAAAGGAAAGAUAUUGGUUUUCCAAUUCAAUGUUAAACACGAGCAAAAGCUUGGUUGUGGUGGUGGCUACAUGAGUUGCGCAGUGAAUAUGUUUACCAGAAGAACUUUUAUGGUGACACUCCGUACAGUGAAUGAAAAGUGGGAUCCCAAGCACGACGCACGCCAAGUUACAGAAUAAGGAUGCAAAGGUAUGCCUUUGGUGAGUUUGAGGUAUCAUUGCAGACUAUGGACUGCCUUUGAUGGUUCUAGUUUGGACAGCUAUUCAAUACAUCCCAGCCAAUAAUGUUCCACAUGGUAUCCUUAGACGGCUCCUCAGCCUAAAUCCGUGGUCGCCUGGUGCCUAUGCGAACUGGACAGUCAUCGAGGACAUGCUAAAUGUGCCUAUCUUUUAUAUGUUCAGAGCUUUUAUCCCAGCGACGCAAUGCUUUAUUAUUUGCCUAUAGUGUAGCAUCUCAACUUGCACAGCAAAGCGAGUUCAAUUUCAGAAAACCAUGUUUUUUCCAUUACGAUUUCUGACUCCAUUAUGUGGUCUUCUUGGUGUCCCCCUAUCAAAUGGCGUCAUCCCACAAUCUAUACAAACUGUCUCGCCACUCUCAAAAAACACCAGGUAGAGGAUGGGAAACCUAUUUCAACCUCCGAGGCAUCUCCACCUGAUACAAAAAAUUGAUAACAAAUCAGUUGUGGUUGUGAAGAAAGAUGGUGAAGCUGCAUCCUCUCCAGCAAAAGCUCCCGCAAACAAAUGCUAGCCACAGUACCUGGAGAGGUCCUCUUAGAUUCUUUCAGUAUAUUCAGCAAGGGUAUCGAUGCAGCUGAAGUUGCCGAAAAACAAGCUCUUUCUACUUCAUCCAAAACUGCAACCAAAAUGGUUAGCGAUAGGCAGAAGAAAUGCUCUUGUCCGAUCUUAAAGAAAGCAGCUGAGGCGAACAAAGAUAAACCUAUCCGCUCUUAUGGUAUGCUUAGCUACAGAAUAUAUUCAUGAUGUUUGUAAUACAUAGAAUUUGUAUUCUCUUAGGACAUAGGAAUGAACUGAACUUAUGAAGUUUCUAUGU